AACGAACGCUGGCGGCAUGCCUAACACAUGCAAGUCGAACGAAGGCUUCGGCCUUAGUGGCGCACGGGUGCGUAACGCGUGGGAAUCUGCCCUUUGGUUCGGAAUAACAGCUGGAAACGGCUGCUAAUACCGGAUGAUGACGCAAGUCCAAAGAUUUAUCGCCAGAGGAUGAGCCCGCGUUGGAUUAGGUAGUUGGUGGGGUAAAGGCCUACCAAGCCGACGAUCCAUAGCUGGUCUGAGAGGAUGAUCAGCCACACUGGGACUGAGACACGGCCCAGACUCCUACGGGAGGCAGCAGUGGGGAAUAUUGGACAAUGGGCGCAAGCCUGAUCCAGCAAUGCCGCGUGAGUGAUGAAGGCCCUAGGGUUGUAAAGCUCUUUUACCCGGGAAGAUAAUGACUGUACCGGGAGAAUAAGCCCCGGCUAACUCCGUG
rnacentral:rRNA from 1 species